GGACGGGGGCCGUUGAAACGGGCGGUCGGUCAAAUGUUUAAACAAACGAGCAAUUAUCUUAACUCGAUCUCAGAUCUCCAGGGUGUUCUUGAGUCGGAAAGUAUCGGUCUCCUUGUCGCUCUCGUGGUUCUACCUGAAUCUUUCAUCUCACUCGGUUGCCCAGGUUACUCGGACCAACCUCCUUCUCUUGUUCCUUUUCCUUUUGGUUUCUCGGAGCUCGAGCGGAGGAUGUCGUCAGGCCUGCCGGCCGGCCGGGCCCGUCCACGUAAAAAGCACAAGACAUGCAUUUCAUUUGCCGCUCGUGUCGAGCCCCUGUUCUUCUUUACGUCCCGCCGAUUCCGAGCGGCGAACUCUCUUGGAUCUGAGAAUGGGCCAGCCAGCAGGGCCAGCCAGCCAGCUAGCAGGGCCAGCCAGCCAGCCAGCCAGCAGGGCCGGUCAGAGGGGGACGGACGACUCGCAUCAGACCGACCUAAACCGAAUCACUAUGUCACGACGACGACGACGAGGACGAAGACGACGAGGACGAUGAGGAUGAGGAGACGACGACAGAGUUGCUGCUAUGGACGAAUAUACAGUGACUCACGAAAGUAUUUGAACAUUUGCCCCGAAACCAUUUCGCGGAUCGGUGAUAUCUACAAAUAAAGGAUGAGAAGCGGAAAGAGAAAAAGAAGAAGAAGUAGAAGAAGAAGAUGAAGAUGAAGAAGAUGAAAGAAGGAAGAGAAUUUCGAUCCGUUUAACGAGAUCAGCUCGAGCGAAAAAAAGGAAUGGAAAGAACAUUUCCAGAUCUUAUUUUUUUUUUUUUAUAUAUAUAUACA
rnacentral:lncRNA from 1 species